GACGAACGCUGGCGGCGUGCCUAAUACAUGCAAGUCGAACGCCGUGGGGACGGGUGAGUAACACGUGGGUUACCUCCCAUCAGAGGGGAUAACACUUGGAAACAGGUGCUAAACCGAUACUGACGGAUGAACCCCCGGUGCAUUAGUUAGCUGGUGAGGUAACGGCUCACCAAGGCAACGAUGCAUAGCGGAAAGGGGAGGUUGAAAAGACGCACGGGAGCAAGGACGCGGCACAGAAACCUACGGGGGGCAGCAGUGUGAAGACUUCGGCUAUGGGCGAAAGGCUGACCGAGCAACGCCGCGUGAGUGAAGAAGGUUUUCGGAUCAUAAAACUCUGUUGUUAGAAAAGCGGUAGCUAACCAGAAAGCGACGGCUUACUACGUGCCAGCAGCCGCGGUAAUUC
rnacentral:rRNA from 1 species